CGCCUUGCCGGAAGUUCUCGCUACAUUUCCGGCAGAGCCUGGGCGGCUGGGCCAGCAUGCGGAGCGGGUUUCUGCGCAGUGCCCGGCGCCUGUGGGCCCGCCGCGCCAUCAGCCGCAUGCCACCGCCUUCCGAGGAGCUCCUCGCCCGCGGCGGGCCCCUGCGAGCCUUCCUGGAGCGCCGCGUGGGCUCGGAGGCCGGCGGUCUGGACGCUGGGAGUCCCCAGCUUGCCGCGGCGGCCCGGCUGCUGAACGAGAAGGAGCGGGAGCUACGGGACACUGAAUCCUUGCUGCACGAUGAGAAUGAAGAUUUGAAGAAACUCGCAGAGAGUGAGAUAGCUUUGUGUCAAAAAGAAAUAGCCGAGCUGAAGCAUCGGAUCAUCUCCCUUUUGGUUCCUUCAGAAGACAUGGAUGGCAGUGACCUGAUCCUGGAGGUGGCCUCAGACAUGCAUCAGCCAGCAUCGGAGGUCCAGAAGCCUACAGACACAUGAAAUUUGAAGGAGGAGUACAUAGAGUACAGAGAGUACCAAAGACAGAGAGGCAAGGCCGCAUCCACACCAGCACCAUGACGGUGGCAAUUCUGCCCCAGCCUACUGAGAUUAAACUGGUGAUUAACCCUAAAGAUUUGAGAAUUGAUACGAAGAGAGCAAGUGGAGCUGGAGGUCAGCACGUAAAUACCACAGACAGUGCUGUUCGGAUAGUUCAUCUUCCCACAGGUAUUAUUUCUGAAUGCCAGCAAGAAAGAUCUCAGCUGAAGAACAGGGAGCUGGCUAUGAAAAAGUUACGUGCAAGGUUAUACAGCAUGCGUCUAGAGGAAGAAACUGCUAAAA
rnacentral:lncRNA from 1 species